rnacentral:miRNA from 1 species
AGAGUGACCAGCUGUCCUGGUUUGCCUGGGGCUGAGGGGUUUCUGGGACAUGGGACUUUGGG